GACGGAGGAUGCAAGCGUUAUCCGGAAUGAUUGGGCGUAAAGCGUCCGCAGGUGGCAGUUCAAGUCUGCUGUCAAAGACCGGGGCUUAACUUCGGAAAGGCAGUGGAAACUGAACAGCUAGAGUAUGGUAGGGGCAGAGGGAAUUCCUGGUGUAGCGGUGAAAUGCGUAGAGAUCAGGAAGAACAUCGGUGGCGAAGGCGCUCUGCUGGACCACAACUGACACUCACAGGACGAAAGCUAGGGGAGCGAAUGGG
rnacentral:rRNA from 1 species